UACGUAGGGUGCGAGCGUUGUCCGGAAUUAUUGGGCGUAAAGGGCUCGUAGGCGGUCUGUUGCGUCGGUAGUGAAAACUCAGGGCUUAACCCUGAGCCUGCUUCCGAUACGGGCAGACUAGAGGUAUGCAGGGGAGAACGGAAGUUCCUGGUGUAGCGGUGAAAUGCGGCAGAUAUCAGGAGGAACACCGGUGGCGAAGGCGGUUCUCUGGGCAGUUACCUGACGCUGAGGAGCGAAAGUGUGGGGAGCGAACAGG
rnacentral:rRNA from 1 species